rnacentral:rRNA from 1 species
AAUAGAUACCCGGGUAGUCCACGCCGUAGACGAUGGAUACUAGCUGUUGGAGGUAUCGACCCCUUCAGUAGCGAAGCUAACGCGUUAAGUAUCCCGCCUGUGGAGUACGGUCGCAAGACUAAAACAUAAAGGAAUUGACGGGGAUCCGCACAAGCGGUGGAUCAUGUUCUUUAAUUCGAUGCUAAACGAAGAACCUUACCAGGGCUUGACAUCCCGAGAAUUUCUCCGAAAGGAGAGAGUGCUUUUAGAACUCGGUGACAGAUGUUGCAUGGCCGUCGUCAGCUCGUGUCGUGAGAUGUUUGGUUAAGUCCAUCAACGAGCGCAACCCUUGUGAAUAGUUGUAUUUUUCUAUUCAGACUGCCCCGGCAACGGGGAGGAAGGAGGGGAUGAUGUCAGGUCAGUAUUACUCUUACGUCCUGGGCUAGAAACGUGAUACAAUGGCAGGUACAAUGCGCAGCGAAGCCGCGAGGUGAAGCAAAUCGGCACCAAAGCCUGUACCCAGUUCGGAUUGGAGGCUGAAACUCGCCUCCA